ACCCGCUGAAUUUAAGCAUAUAAGUAAGUGGUGGAAUUAAACCAAAUGGGAUAUCUUUAGUAAUUGCGAAUGAACAAGGAUAUGCUUAGCUUGACAAAUGGAGCUAUUGGCUUUGAAUUGUAUUGUGGAAAUGUAUUACCAACAGAGGUGCAGGUGCCAGCCUAUUGAAAUAAAGCGUCAAUGAGGGUGAGAAUCCUGUUUGUCAUGUGCAGCCCUUUGUGCACGGUGUAUAUUUGCUGAGUCACACUCCUUGGCAUUGGAAUGCAAAGUGGGUGGUAAGUUUCAUGUAAAGGUAAACAUGCAAUUGAGACUGAUAGCACACAAGUACCAUGAGGGAAAUAUGAAAAGGACUUUGAAAAGAGAAUUAAAUGAGUUUGUAUUUGCUGAACACAAAGUAAACAGACUUGAUUUGCUUGGUGGGAGUGUUGCACUUGCUUGACAAGAGCUUUGGGCUGUGGGUGUAAUGAUUCUUUCUUUGCAUGCCAGUUUCUAUUUGUACAUCUGAUUACCUUUGCACAUGAAUGAUAAGUCUCCUGUGGGGGGUGGAUUGCAUGUGCAUGUAAUGAUUUGUGUUUUGAUAAAUGUGUCUGGUGUAUGUGUGUGUUCCUGUGCUUGGGGAUGCUUCCUUCCUUGGACUUACAAGCCCUGACACACACAUGCUGGCAAAAUGUGUCUGCUUGACCCGUCUUGAAACACGGACCAA
rnacentral:rRNA from 1 species